CCUACGGGAGGCUGCAGUGGGGAAUAUUGCACAAUGGGGGAAACCCUGAUGCAGCGACGCCGCGUGAGUGAAGAAGUAAUUCGUUAUGUAAAGCUCUAUCAGCAGGGAAGAAAAUGACGGUACCUGAGUAAGAAGCCCCGGCUAACUACGUGCCAGCAGCCGCGGUAAUGCGUGGGGGGCAAGCGUUAUCCGGAUUUAAUGGGGGUAAAGGGGGCGUAGACGGCACUGCAAGUGUGGAGUGAGCGGCGGGGGCUCAACCCCCGGACUGUGGUGGAAACUGGAGGGCUGGAGUGCAGGAGAGGUAAGCGGAAUGCCCGGGGUAGCGGUGAAAUGCGUAGAUAUUGCGCGGAACACCAGUGGCGAAGGCGGCGUACUGGACCGUAACUGACGCUGAGGCACGAAAGCGUGGGUAGCGAACAGGAUUAGAUACCCGGGUAGUC
rnacentral:rRNA from 1 species